UACGAAGGGGGCUAGCGUUGUUCGGAUUUACUGGGCGUAAAGCGCACGUAGGCGGAUCGAUCAGUCAGGGGUGAAAUCCCAGAGCUCAACUCUGGAACUGCCUUUGAUACUGUCGAUCUGGAGUAUGGAAGAGGUGAGUGGAAUUCCGAGUGUAGAGGUGAAAUUCGUAGAUAUUCGCAAGAACACCAGUGGCGAAGGCGGCUCACUGGCCCGAUACUGACGCUGAGGCGCGACAGCGUGGGGAGCAAACAGG
rnacentral:rRNA from 1 species